CAUAAACCUGGCCAUGGAGAGAGAAAAUAGAAGGCGAUAUAUAGAGAGAAAGAGAGAACGAGAGAGAGAGAAGAUCGAAGAAGGCGAGAAGGUGUGAUCGAAGAGAGCUGUUGAUGGAGGGAUCAAUAUUCUUUCGGUAAUAACUUGAAGUAUCAAAUUCUAGUUGUCCAAGAAAAUAAUGGCAUAUUCAAAGGCUCAGGCUUGUGGAAGCUAAGUACUCGUACUGUUGAUGUGGGAGAGGAUAUAUGUGAAUCUGCAAUCAGAGAAGUAAAAGAAGUAAACUUGUUGUUUUAAUCUUUUGUUCUUUAUAUCAUUGAAGUACCCCAUUUCUAGUUCUAUAUAAAAUUUUAUGUGCUACACUUGCAUCCUGAGUUCCAGCAUUCAUGUCUAGUUCUAGAUCCUAAUUGUUUUUGAAAUUUAAGAAUAUGUCAAGUUGAUCUGUCCCAGCGUUCGACUCCCACAGCCCUAACCGAGUGUGGGUAACGUUCAUAUUUUCUUCCAUAUUCUUGGUACAUUUAUACUGCAUAUAUACUGAUGACUAAUCUUUAUUUUUUCAUUUGUAGAAGUUGAUUUAACUUGUAAUCUACUUUAGCUAUUAUCAUUAGCACUAGCACAUAAUAUAUAGACUUAUUUGGACCAGUGCGUGGUUCUUAAUGUAACUAUAUAAACAACCUAGAGUCUAGUAAAAGAGAAAAUUGACGCAUUCAGGAGGAUAACUUGGUAUAUAGGGACAGAGAAGCACCUUAAAAAUCUAGAUGCUGCUACUUCUUUCUGCUCAUGAUAUAUAUCUCUAUUAUUAUUUACUAAUUUCAUGAUUAUCAUCAUUCAUCAGUGAACAAGAUUUAGCUAUGAUAAUUAGUCAGUGAGGAUGCAUUCUAGAUAUAAAGAUCACAGUAACUAAACUAUCUUAUAUUUGGUGUUUGUAAUUUUUUUUCUUUUUAUUGAUAUUUUGGACAUUGAACCAAAUAAAAUAUUGAUAUGAACUAAUCUUUUGUUUUCCUCAUCUCUUUUCAGGUCUGCUUAAUCUAUGUUCCAGGUUGAAGCCUUUGUCUUAAAAGAAACAACGCUCUGUAAAACUAUAUGAACCGGCACAAUCUACUGAAAAUUGUUGUUGAGGAACUUGCUAUGCGCCCGUCUUUCAACAAUCGAAUUGAGGGUGUAUGCUUUGCUGGUUUUCACACAAGCCCCAGAAGAUGCUGUUCUUGGAAUAAUCGAUGACCAUGGGGCUGAUAUGAAAAGUCUUCUGUUCUGGAUUUUUUAUUUAUAAAAAAUUGGUGUAAUAAAAUAUUGAUGUAUUUUAUUUAACAUUCUAUAUUUAGGAUAAUUAUUAAUAAUUUUUGUAACAAUGGUAUUGCUCUUGGGUGUGGUUUUGUAGGCAUCGUUAGAUUUGUGGUGGGUAACAUUCUUGGUUCUUUUUUGGGAUUUUCUUGUGAUGAACCUUUAAUGAUGGAAUAAUAUACUUUUGGAA